rnacentral:lncRNA from 1 species
AAAUUAAUUUCAACUAUCAAGUUGAUUGCAUCCCCAAAAUCCCAAUUGAUUCUUCCCCAAAUUGAUUCUACUUCUCAUAAUCGAUUAUUCUCCUCGAACAGAAAACACAACUGGCGGAUGAUUCAGCUCAGGAACCAUAAUCUGUUAAGUUGAAGAAACGCGAUUCCACCCUUCAUCUCGACAAAACGCUAUUCCUUCCGAUUCUAUUCUCGCAAGGUACUCACUUUUUCCUUUCUUUCCAAAUUACGAUGAGAAUGGUUUUUCUGAUUUCGAUUUUAUUUCCUUUCUUUGAGUUCAGAAUUUGGCUAUUCAUGAGUUUGUGGCUAAACAUGUAAUUCUGAGUUCAGAACCAACACUUUUAUUAUACUGUGUUUGUGGUACUUGAUUUUAUUAUACUAUGUUUGUUCUUUUAACUAUAGUUUGAUUAGGACUUUGGUUUUAAAAAGCCUUGUUGAUGUUUGUUUGUGAUGUUAUAUAAAUUGGCAUCAUUGGGCAUUUACCUUUGUAGUUUAGUAAGAGAUUUCAGCUUAUUAUCAGGCCUUUGUUUUAGUAACUUAAGAUGGUAAGAUUAUCAAGAGAGUUUCAACUUGUCUCAGUGUUGUUAAAUAACCGGUAUAUCGCCGCUAUACCGCUGUUACAUAUCGGGAUUUAGAGCACCCACAACGAAAGCCGAUAUGCUAUUGCGAUUCCGCUACCACGGUAAUAGUGGCUUUUUGCAUAUCGGCGAUAUCGGUUAUGGCAGAUAGCAGAAGUUUCUGUUUUUUAUGCUUUUUACUCUAAUCAUAACAUUACAAAUAUCAUAUGAGCUGCAUUUUCAAAAAUAGUAAAAUAAAAUAGUGAUGAGUCAGUGAUGAGAUGGGGUCNNNNNNNNNNNNNNNNNNNNNNNNNNNNNNNNNNNNNUUCUCCUUACUAUUACUCUUAACUAUUUUAAAGUGGGUUGUUACGGUGAUAAUCAUAAGUAGAGAUAAUAAUUAUGUGCCUCAUAGUAGGUGAUAAGCAUAGUCGAAUCACUUUAGCCACCAGGAGCUUCACUGCUCCUUUUAAUUUAUUUGUCUAUAACUAGUAGGUGAGAGUGAAUAUUGAUCUGUAAAUUCUCAAACACUUGUGAAUAUUGAUGAGUACUAUACAUGCCUAAUAUAUAUAUGUUCACACGUUAAACAUUGUCACCACGUGAAUUGGAUAGAAAUAUUCCAUGACACGUUUUAUUAUACUUAAUCACUUCUAUUUUUAAUAAUUAGCGUUAGUCUCUUGAUGCAUUAACAGCUGCUGUUUCUAUUCCAUACUCCAACUCUGCUUUUCUUCUAAUCAAGACAUUUGUUGUUGCAUAUAUAAGAGAGAGUAUUCUUCAAGAAGGUAUGUUUCAUUGUUCAAUAGUCAUAGACAUGCAUUUUUUUUUUUAAGUAUAGUAGGAACAAUAAAAGUUGUAUAGUGCAAAUUGCAAAAGUCAAAAUUCAGCCGAUCAAAAACAUAAGAAACCAAAAUCGUCAAUAAACUACAAAGCACUCGAGUCUGAUAAAUUAUUCGAAA